CCUACGGGUGGCUGCAGUAAGGAAUAUUGGUCAAUGGACGCAAGUCUGAACCAGCCAUGCCGCGUGCAGGAUGACGGCCCUACGGGUUGUAAACUGCUUUUGUACGGGAAAAAACCUCCGGUCGUGAAUCGGAGCUGAUGGUACCGUAAGAAUAAGCAUCGGCUAACUCCGUGCCAGCAGCCGCGGUAAUACGGAGGAUGCAAGCGUUAUCCGGAUUCAUUGGGUUUAAAGGGUGCGCAGGCGGAAUGAUAAGUCAGUGGUGAAAUCUCUCGGCUCAACUGAGAAACUGCCAUUGAUACUGUUGUUCUUGAGUACACUUGAAGUGGGCGGAAUGUGUCAUGUAGCGGUGAAAUGCUUAGAUAUGACACAGAACACCGAUCGCGAAGGCAGCUCACUAAAUUGUAACUGACGCUCAGGCACGAAAGCGUGGGGAUCAAACAGGAUUAGAUACCCUGGUAGUC
rnacentral:rRNA from 1 species